AUGGAGCGCGUGAGAAGGGCGUCGCAUGCCGGCUCCUGGUACACCAACAACGCCAGCAAGCUGGAAGACGAACUUGAUGGCUGGCUUUCGGCUGCUGCUCUCACCAAGUCACCUGAUGUUAGGGCCGUAAUUGCACCCCAUGCUGGCUAUUCAUACUCGGGGCGCUGUGCAGCUUAUGCUUUUGGCAACAUUGAUCCAACUAACAUUUCUCGGGUGUUUCUGCUCGGCCCAUCUCAUCACUACUAUACUCCAAAAUGUGCUCUGUCAAGAGCUACUGUUUAUAGCACCCCGAUUGGGGAUUUACCAGUAGACCUGGAAGUUAUCGAGGAACUCAAAGCUACCGGAAAAUUUGAAUUUAUGGACCUUAAUGUGGAUGAGGCUGAACAUAGCAUGGAAAUGCAUUUGCCUUACCUUUCUAAAGUAUUUCAGGGACAUAAUGUAAAAGUUGUACCUAUCCUUGUUGGUGCCGUCAACUCCCAAAAUGAAGCCAUGUAUGGGCAGUUGCUCGCUAAAUAUGUGGAUGAUCCAAAGAACUUUUUUUCUGUCUCCUCAGACUUUUGCCACUGGGGAUCUCGGUUUAGUUAUACAUACUAUGACAAGAAGCAUGGUGCCAUUCACAAAUCAAUCGAGGCGUUGGACCGCUUGGGCAUGGAGAUCAUAGAGACUGGUGACCCCGAUGCGUUCAAACAGUAUCUCGAGGAGUACGAGAACACCAUAUGUGGACGCCAUCCCAUCAGCGUCCUUCUUCAUAUGUUGAAACACUGCUCGACGAAGAUUAAGGUCGGGUUUGUUCGCUACGAGCAGUCGAGCCAAUGCAAGACCACGAGGGACAGCAGCGUCAGCUACGCAUCCGCUGUGGCCAAGGUGGACACUCCUGGAGAAGUGGGUAAAGAUUGA
rnacentral:rRNA from 1 species